UGCGCCGGCGCCUAUUCUGUUACUCUCGCGCCCGAGCCCGUUCCUGUUUCCCCAAAAAAGAGACAUCUCCGGUGUGGCCGCUCCGCCUCCACCUCCUCUCCCUGGCUUCGGCCGUCGCCUUGCGCCCCACCUUCUCCCCUGGCUCCGGCCGCCGCGCCGAGCCCCACCGUCUCCCCUGGCUCCGGUCGCCGCCUCGUGCCCCACCUUCUCCCCUAGAUCCGACCGUGGCCCGGCGCCCCACCUUCUCCCUGGCUCCGGCCGCCGCCCCGUGCCCCACCUUCUACCCCCGGCUCCGGUCGUCCCCCACGCCUCACCUUCUCCCUCGGCUCCGGCCGUCGCCCCACGCCCCACCUUCUCCCUCGGCUCCAGUCGCCGCCCAAUCCCCCACCAUCUCGUGCCCCUGGCCGCGCCCCAUCCACCAUCCCCAUCGCCGGCCGCCCCCAUCUGCAGCGCGCCUGCCGCCCCCAUCCCCAGCGCACCAACCCCCAGGUCGCCACCUGCCUCAUCGCGACGCCGCCCACUGCCCUUCCUCCUGGCUUCUCCCAGCCAUGUCGAGCGCCUCCUCCCUGCUCCAAGCUCGCUGCAGACUACACAGAGCCGCCAGCCCCCGCCGCCUCCCGUGCUAGUACAACGCCGCCCCUGUACAAGGUUCAAAGAACUUACAGUGAGAAGGAAGGGAGAUGCUAAGGUCCGGCAGCUUCCUCGUUGCCAUCCUGGCCCCUCAAGACGACCUCUGGUUCGGCCUUUCGUCAACGGAGAAAAGAAGACUGAUGUGGUGCUCCUAUUGGCUGUACUCUGGAGAAGAGUUAACAGAAAGUUGCAGCAAAGAACAAAAAAGAAGAAAAAAAUAUAGGGUUGCAAUUUAAGGAAGUUGGGAAUUAAAAGUUCAAAUUGUGCUAAUUGUCGCCGAGCCUCGGGUCUAUUCAUUCCUAAGCUAUGUCUUCAGUCAGCAGCGGAGAUGCCUGCGGGUACAUCGAUAGGAGCAGGAGACCCAUCAAACUUUGUUAACGGGCAGAUAGGAACAACAAGUUAGGUCCGUGCAUAUCAUCAUUCUGAGAGUGACAGAUUUGUGUUGAUUGAAUCCACGGUGGCAGUAGAACAUUAAGUACCAUGGAGUUUUCAUUGUGAGCAGGAUGCAUCGAAUACAACAGAUGAAGUGAAGCGACCUCCCCGGAGAGAAACCGAUCGCUGUGCAGCGACGCAUCUUGCCGUCGUCGUCGCUUGCGUAGUUCUCUGAAUGGAUGGAUGGAUGGGUACAGUUCUCUGAAUGUGAAGGUAUUUUGUGAAAAUGGAGGAAUUUAUUACAUAUUUAUAGCUUUGCGUAUGGAACCUGGAAGUUUAAGAUUGGCAAUAGAUUCAGUUCUUGCAGUACAAACGUCCUAGAGUUCAGUGACAUCUCCAAUUGAUAUAGUUUUCUUGAAUCUCCAGUCGAUUGUUGCUCAGCUUCCUCGCAAUUUACUCAGUCUCGUUUUGCUCCAAAGCGUGCUUCAGUUCAACAAAAAGCUCCAGAAAAGUUCAGAGUUCACAGGAGUCACUUCAGGUUGGCUCUUUUUUAUUCGCCAGUUUGGGUAAAGCAGGGAGAGGUGGAGUUCAACUAUACAGAAAGGUGAUGGUUUCGACUGGGGCUUCCGUGACGAUCCGCUGUUGUUCUGAUCUCUAGUUUCUAUGAACUGAUGGGUAAGAUUCUCUCUCUCAUGCUCUCUCUCCCUCUCUCUCUCUCUCUCUCUCUCUCUCUCUCUCUCCUCAUCCUUUGUAGUUUGUGUGAACUGAUAGUUUAGACUCGAUGAAAUCCGCUGUUUGUAGUUUGUGUGUACUGAUAGUUGAAACUAUGAAUUCCAUGCUUUGUAGUUUGUAUGAACUAAUAGUUAAGACUCGAUGAACUCCAUGCUUUGUAGUUUGUGUGAACUGAUAGUUGAGACCUCAAGAGUUGUCCAUCUCGACUCGGUGAACUCAUAGCUGAUAGUUUUGUGAAGUGAAAAUUCUUCUUCAAGUUCUUGUGGUAUUUAAUACUUUGUAAGCUGAUAGCUGAUACUUUGAGAUGGAUGUAUUAUUAGGCUGUGAAAAUGAUGUCAAAUAUGUGCAGUUUAAUGGAUGAGUGUUAUCUAGAUCCUUUUAAUCUGAAGGUAGUAUUUUCUAUAGACAAGAAAUGGGCAUUUGGCUCAGUAAUCGUCCAUUACUAGAGGUAUUGUCAGUUGACCAUUUUCCAGAACUAGUUUCAAUUCGUGGACUACCGGCACUUGCAAAAUCCAAGAGGCUGACCAUAUCAAAGUGCCCAAAGUUGAAGCAAAGGAGAUGAGAUGCCACAAAAAAGGAUGCAUAAAAAAAAUCAAAGGUAGCAGCUCAAAAAGAUGAAUAUUGGAAGCCCAUUGCCAGGCUGCGGAUGCGUAUGACUUGAAUCGGUAGCAGGCCUGUAACCGAAUCAUUCCGCACCACUUUUCUGUCCGUGUGGCUUGAUGUGCAGCCCGCCGGCUCAGUCGUGUACGUCCAGACAAGACACUAUGGUGCAAUUUAAUGCAUGAAUUGCAGUAUGUGGAUGAACCCAUACCUGAAGGCUCUGGGCUCCAACUACAGCAACGGUGUCAAAUUCGCCAUGGCUGGCUCAACGGUGUCCCGCGGCGUCUCCCAAUUCCCUGAACAUCCAGGUCGAUCCGUUCGUCUACUACAAGCACAGAUCCCUAGAGCUCUAAAGUUCCGUAUCAGGGUAUUUUUUCAUCGGUUCUAAAAUUCCCAGAGCAUCAGUCCAACGACGUAUCGGGGUAUACUGUGUUGCUCCUGCGAAUUUUUGUAUGCUUGUAUGUAAAAAAAAUGGUACAGUUACUGCUUUGAUGUGUCGUGGUGUUAAUGUUGUUGAUGUUCAAAGUUUGUGCAGAGAAAGACUUCAAAAACUCGUGUCGCCGAUGGAAUGAAUUACUAGAAGUUCAAAUUUGCUAA